GUUUGUCCCCAGUCUGUCUCUCUCUGUGUUUGUGUUUGGGCGUAUGCUGGGCGUGGCCUCCUGGUUUCACUCUCCCAUUCAACCUGAGUACUUGCAGCUGAUCUACUAAUCAACUCUAUAAGCCACAGCAGUAUAAAGCCCUGGUUCAUCUCUCUCGACUUUGCCAGAUCAUUCAGUCACCAAUGCGCUCCCAGUACACCUGCUACGUCAGCCUCAUCCUCAUCUGCUGUUUGCCUCAUCUGCUGUUUGCCAGUUUGGAUUGGGGAUCUCAUGUUCGCUCUGCCCUGACUUGAGCCCCUCAGCCUGCUUCAGUCCUUCGCCCUGCACCGCUGCCAUUCCCAGCCCCUUUGUCGUAUCCAAAACCAAAUAAUUUGUCAGCUAAGCCAUCAGAUCCAUCUUCAACUCAAGCUACAAUGAACUGUCCUUAACCAUCCCUGUGUCUCCUGGUCUGUGGGUGCAUUUGGGUCCUAAAUUGAACUAUUAUAACAAGUAAUGUCUUUCUUGAUGAACCCAGUUUGUGACAUGGUAGAAAAAUAAAUCUUUUUCAUUUA